CACUUUUCUGUAAAAAAGUGAAUUCAUUCAUUAUCUGUAGUUCUGUGAAUUCAUUAAUUAUCUGUAGUUCUGUGUUUUAACUUUGGGUGAAUUUCAGUUACGUGACUUGGACAAAAGAGACUUUUCCCUAUCAGGCUCAAGCCAGGACAGUGGGACAAGUACAAAUACUUUGAUGGAGGAAUGAAACUCAAAGUGUGUACAGUAUCUGGCUUUUUUCUGCAACUAAUAUCAGAUGCUUUAAAAGGAGGAGACACCUGUUGAUAAUGCAUCUGGACAGCCACAUGAAUGUCUUUGAAUGAGAAAAAAAACCCUUUAAUUUCUGACCCUGGAAAGGCAUGAAUUUGAACUGAGAAUCUGCCUUAACUGGCACAAACCUAAUCAAUUAUUCAUGCUUAUAAAGUCCCCUUGGGUUUGAUCUCUUGUUUAAUAACUUACAGCUGACAGGUAACACAGCACCACCUUGCCAUUGGCCUGAAACUGAUGAAAGAAGCAUCACUGGAAAACAAAGGAUGACCAAGGGAGACCUUGGAAGAACACUCUACUCCUGGUUCCUGCUUCUGACUGAAUGAACCUUUUCUGUCCCCAUCUCAAACUGGUCUACCACAGUAGGGAACCACUGUUGAAGAAUAAUUAUCCUUAACACAAAAACCAGAAGGAUCAACAAUGAGAUGGAAAACAUUGUUUAUAGCUGUGGGAAAUGAGGAAAAAUGGAUGGAGAGAAGUUGAAUGGCAGAAUGGAAGGUGGGAGAAUGACUACAUAGGGGGAUGGGUGCAAAAGGAAUGACAGCUGUGGAGGGAAGGCAAUGGACUUACCCCGGAGCCCAAGGAGUUGGCCACGGUGGAGGACUACAGCUAGGCACAGGCAGGGAGUAGGAACACAGAGAGGCAUGGGAAGUGACAGGAAGGAUGGGAGAGAAAAAAAAGGGGAUUACUGGGAGAUAAUUUGAGGGCAACAAAAAUAUUAUAAAGCCCAGAGAAACCACUACAGAAGCUCCUGUUAGUUGAUACUAACUCUGUUCUUGCUCACUUUGCUCUUACCAUACAGGGACAGAUGUGGUAUCUGAGGUGGGAGAGGGGCCGUGUCACAAGGAUCCACUGCUACAUUUUUAGUCAGAUUUUCUUGCUUACCACAUUUUUUACAGGAACACACGAAGAUAAAGAAAUUGGUUUACAGCAGGGAAAAAGUUUAACUCAGAACAAGGACAGAAGCCUUAAGACAGAAUGGGCUUCAAAAGGAACUCAGAAACACGACCAAAAUUGCAAUGACCAAAAUGCAUGAAUAAGACUGUGUACUGCUCUCCUGGUGGUAACCCCA